AACGAACGCUGGCGGCAUGCCUAACACAUGCAAGUCGAACGAGACCUUCGGGUCUAGUUGCGCACGGGUGCGUAACGCGUGGGAACCUGCCCUUAGGUUCGGAAUAACUCCCCGAAAGGGGUGCUAAUACCGGAUAAUGUCUUCGGACCAAAGAUUUAUCGCCUUUGGAUGGGCCCGUGUUGGAUUAGCUAGUUGGUAGGGUAAAAGCCUACCAAGGCGACGAUCCAUAGCUGGUCUGAGAGGAUGAUCAGCCACACUGGGACUGAGACACGGCCCAGACUCCUACGGGAGGAAGCAGUGGGGAAUAUUGGACAAUGGGCGAAAGCCUGAUCCAGCAAUGCCGCGUGAGUGAUGAAGGACUUAGGGUUGUAAAGCUCUUUUACCCGGGAUGAUAAUGACAGUACCGGGAGAAUAAGCUCCGGCUAACUCCGUG
rnacentral:rRNA from 1 species